AAAAAUCCGGGGGGUCAUACACCGAGCACCGAGACGAGGUCUUCGGACCGAAGUCACUGAGUCCACGCUUCCAGGAAAAGCCUCUAAGCUUCAGCUCACGAAGACCGUACCGCAAACCGACACAGGUAGGCAGGGUGAGAAUCCCAAGGCGCUUGAGAGAACUCGGGUGAAGGAACUAGGCAACAUAGCACCGUAACUUCGGGAGAAGGUGCACCCAAGAGUGUGGCUACAUGCGUAGCUGAGCACUCCUGGGUCGCAGUGACCAGGCCGCUGCGACUGUUUAUCAAAAACACAGCACUCUGCAAACACGAAAGUGGACGUAUAGGGUGUGACGCCCGCCCGGGCGCCGGAAGGUUAAUUGAUGGGGUCAGCGCAAGCGAAGCUCUUGAUCGAAGCCCCGGUAAACGGCGGCCGUAACAAUAACGGUCCUAAGGUAGCGAAAUUCCUUGUCGGGUAAGUUCCGACCUGCACGAAUGGCGUAACGACAGCGGCGCUGUCUCCACCCGAGGCUCAGUGAAAUUGAAAUCGCUGUGAAGAUGCAGCGUUCCCGCGGCAAGACGGAAAGACCCCGUGAACCUUUACUAUAGCUUUACAUUGAACGUUGAGUUCGUCUGUGUAGGAUAGGUGGGAGCCUUUGAAGUUUGGGCGCUAGCUCAGAUGGAGGCAACCUUGAAAUACCACCCUGAUGUGCUUGACGUUCUAACCUCGGCCCGUUAUCCGGGUCAGGGACCAUGUAUGGUGGGUAGUUUGACUGGGGCGGUCUCCUCCCAAAGAGUAACGGAGGAGCUCGAAGGUACGCUCAGCGCGGUCGGACAUCGCGCACUGUGUGCAAAGGCAUAAGCGUGCUUGACUGCAAGAUCGACGGAUCAAGCAGGUAGGAAACUAGGACUUAGUGAUCCGGUGGUUCUGUAUGGAAGGGCCAUCGCUCAACGGAUAAAAGGUACUCCGGGGAUAACAGGCUGAUACCGCCCAAGAGUUCAUAUCGACGGCGGUGUUUGGCACCUCGAUGUCGGCUCAUCGCAUCCUGGGGCUGUAGUCGGUCCCAAGGGUAUGGCUGUUCGCCAUUUAAAGCGGUACGCGAGCUGGGUUCAGAACGUCGUGAGACAGUUCGGUCCCUAUCUGUCGUGGGCGUUGGAGGUUUGAGAGGGGCUGCUCCUAGUACGAGAGGACCGGAGUGGACGUAUCUCUGGUGUUCCGGUUGUCACGCCAGUGGCACUGCCGGGUAGCUAUAUACGGAAGAGAUAACCGCUGAAAGCAUCUAAGCGGGAAACUCGCCUCAAGAUGAGACCUCCCGGGGCACAAGCCCCCUAAAGGAACGAUGAAGACUACGUCGUUGAUAGGCUGGGUGUGUACAACCGCAAGGUUUAGCUAACCAGUACUAAUGAUCCGUGUGGCUUGACC
rnacentral:rRNA from 1 species